AUUGAACGCUGGCGGCAUGCCUUACACAUGCAAGUCGAACGGCAGCACGGGUGCUUGCACCUGGUGGCGAGUGGCGAACGGGUGAGUAAUACAUCGGAACGUGCCCAGUCGUGGGGGAUAACGUAGUGAAAAUUACGCUAAUACCGCAUACGAUCUACGGAUGAAAGCGGGGGAUCGCAAGACCUCGCGCGAUUGGAGCGGCCGAUAUCAGAUUCGGUAGUUGGUGAGGUAAAGGCUCACCAAGCCGACGAUCUGUAGCUGGUCUGAGAGGACGCCCAGCCACACUGGGACUGACAAACGGCCCAGACUCCUACGGGAGACAGCAGUGGGGAAUUUUGGACAAUGGACGCAAGUCUGAUCCAGCCAUUCCGCGUGCAGGACGAAGGCCUUCGGGUUGUAAACUGCUUUUGUACAGAACGAAAAGGUCUCUACUAAUACUAGGGGCUCAUGACGGUACUGUAAGAAUAAGCACCGGCUAACUACGUGCCAGCCGCCGCCGUAA
rnacentral:rRNA from 1 species